rnacentral:rRNA from 1 species
ACGCUCGACACCUACGGGAGGCAGCAGUGAGGAAUAUUGGUCAAUGGGCGCUAGCCUGAACCAGCCAAGUAGCGUGAAGGAUGAAGGCUCUAUGGGUCGUAAACUUCUUUUAUAUAAGAAUAAAGUGCAGUAUGUAUACUGUUUUGUAUGUAUUAUAUGAAUAAGGAUCGGCUAACUCCGUGCCACAGCCGCGGUAAUCUGAGGCGGCUGGCAAGGC